GUCAUAAACCUUGACAUAUUAUACUGUCCGCCAGAGUACUACAAGUGAAAAACUCAAAACUCAAAGGACUUGACGGUGUCCCACACCAACCUAGAGGAGCCUGUCCUAUAAUCGAUACCCCACGAAACACCUCACCCUUCCUAGCACGAUCAGCCUAUAUACCGCCGUCGUCAGCCUACCUUAUAAAAGUUACAAAGUAGACAAGAUCAGUCAAAUCGCAAAAACGUCAGGUCAAGGUGUAGCAUAUGGAAGGGAAAGAGAUGGGCUACAUUUUCUAACAAGAAAAGACUAACAGCAUAAUGAAAAUUAACGCUCUACGGUGGAUUUAGCAGUAAGCUGAGUAAGCGAGCUCAA
rnacentral:rRNA from 1 species